rnacentral:rRNA from 1 species
GUGUCAGCCGCCGCGGUAAUACGGAGGGUGCGAGCGUUAAUCGGAAUUACUGGGCGUAAAGCGCAUGCAGGUGGUUUGUUAAGUCAGAUGUGAAAGCCCACGGCUCAACCGUGGAGGGUCAUUGGAAACUGGGAGACUUGAGUGCAGAAGAGGAAAGUGGAAUUCCAUGUGUAGCGGUGAAAUGCGUAGAGAUGUGGAGGAACACCAGUGGCGAAGGCGACUCUCUGGUCUGUAACUGACGCUGAGGAGCGAAAGCGUGGGGAGCGAACAGGAUUAGAAAC